rnacentral:rRNA from 2 species
GUGGAUUAGUGGCGAACGGGUGAGUAACACGUGAGUAACCUGCCCUUAACUCUGGGAUAAGCCUGGGAAACUGGGUCUAAUACCGGAUAGGAGCGCCUACCGCAUGGUGGGUGUUGGAAAGAUUUAUCGGUUUUGGAUGGACUCGCGGCCUAUCAGCUUGUUGGUGAGGUAAUGGCUCACCAAGGCGACGACGGGUAGCCGGCCUGAGAGGGUGACCGGCCACACUGGGACUGAGACACGGCCCAGACUCCUACGGGAGGCAGCAGUGGGGAAUAUUGCACAAUGGGCGCAAGCCUGAUGCAGCGACGCCGCGUGAGGGAUGACGGCCUUCGGGUUGUAAACCUCUUUCAGUAGGGAAGAAGCGAAAGUGACGGUACCUGCAGAAGAAGCACCGGCUAACUACGUGCCAGCAGCCGCGGUAAUACGUAGGGUGCGAGCGUUAUCCGGAAUUAUUGGGCGUAAAGAGCUCGUAGGCGGUUUGUCGCGUCUGUCGUGAAAGUCCGGGGCUUAACCCCGGAUCUGCGGUGGGUACGGGCAGACUAGAGUGCAGUAGGGGAGACUGGAAUUCCUGGUGUAGCGGUGGAAUGCGCAGAUAUCAGGAGGAACACCGAUGGCGAAGGCAGGUCUCUGGGCUGUAACUGACGCUGAGGAGCGAAAGCAUGGGGAGCGAACAGGAUUAGAUACCCUGGUAGUCCAUGCCGUAAACGUUGGGCACUAGGUGUGGGGACCAUUCCACGGUUUCCGCGCCGCAGCUAACGCAUUAAGUGCCCCGCCUGGG